GUUUUGUUGACAUCCACCACACCAAAAGUUAGCUGUCCAGAAGGAAGGCUUGCCAGACUUCAAAAGACAAUCAACGAGUGAAUGAGAAACAAAAUGACCUGGUCAUGCUGAAAUAAGGACACCGGGGCCUCUUUGGACAAAUUUCGUGUGGAGGCUGGACACGUGGGGGCCACACCCACAUGCCGCCUUUUACCCAGGCGAGUCUCAAAGCACUUGUCCAGCCAGGCUGAUUGAUAGCUCUGCAGUGGCCCUGUUUACCACCAGAGUGAGGCACAGCAGCUGGCUGACAACCCUUCGAUUGACCCUGGUCAGCACUUUCAAGGUAGGAAGCUCAGAAGAACAGUGUCCACUUAAAGCCACAACAAAGGCAGUGAGGGGAUGCCCUUUCUUUGUGAAUGGGCCGGCAGGCUGGCUUCUCUAAACACACAUACACCAGUGAGGGAAGUGGGUGUGAAUGGAGGCGAAAUUGCUCUGGGGCAAUUCUAGCUUGGCCCUUUGUCACCCUGGGAAGACAGUUGGAUACUCAGGCCCAGUGUGACUUGGACACGGACCUAAUGUUAGAUGUUACAUAAAGUCCCUGCAACCUGCUCGUCUGGUUCAGCAACAGCUUCAGUAGUCUUGAAGAUGUCCCUUGGUUGUCCUCUUCCAGGAGAAAAUCUGUGUGUUUAUUUCUCUAACCUUCCCAUUCUGUAUAGUUAAUAUAAUUCAUAUGUCCUAAAUUCCCCACGUCUCAGCAUACCCAGAGCUCGAUCCCAAGCCCCAUGCUCAAAUGCCCACUCACUAGAGUCCUGCUUCUCAGCUGCCUCGAGGCAAAUAGCUUCCUCCAACGUGCUCCCUGCUCCCGUGCUUCCGUCAGGGUGUACUUCCUUAACACACAGUGGGACGAACUGGCAAGCUGGCCGUGGACUGUGAGUCAAAAGAAACCUUCCCUCCUUUUAAGUGGGAUCAGCUCCUGGUGCCCUCCUCCACGUCACUCCUGAAAGGAAGAAAACAGAGCUGAAGUGGACUUCACAAUGGAGCUGACACACAUUCGGCCAAGCAAAGUUGGGAGUAGCAGAAUCCCAUGUUGACUUGAUUGUUUUCGUCUUCUUUUUUUUAAAGUGUGGUGUGUGUGUGUGUGUGUGUGUGUGUGUGUGUGUGUGUGUGUGAUAUGAACAUGUGUGUUGUGGUGGUUUAAAUAUGCUUGGCCCAUAGGGAGUGGCACUAUUAGGAGGCAUGGCCUUGUUGGAGGAAGUGUGUCACUGUGGGGGUGGGAUUUGGAGGUCUCCUCCUAGGCUCAGGCUCCACCCAUUGCAGAAGGGAGCUUCCUCCUAGUUGCCUGAGGAUGCCAGUAUCUCCUGGUUGCCUUCAAAUCAAAAUGCAGAACUCUGCUCCCUCUCCAGCACCAUGUCUGCCUGCAUGCUGCCAGUGCUUUCUGCUGUGAUGAUAACGGACUAAACCUUUUCAACCAUAAGCCACCUCCAAUUAAAUAUUUGCCUUUAGAAGAGUUGCUGUGGUCAUGGUGUCUUAAUGGAAAGACAUGUGCAAACAGUUCAGGGGAAGUUAUCUUGUCUGUUGAGAGUUAUCUCUUACUUUCCCUCCCUUUCUUCCCUUCUUUCUCCCUUUUCCUCCCUCCCUUUCUCUGUAUCUCUAUCUCCUUUAUUCUCCUGAGACAGAGUCUUUAACUGAACUCAAAGCUAGGCUGACA
rnacentral:lncRNA from 1 species